rnacentral:rRNA from 1 species
GACGAACGCUGGCGGCGUUCCUAAUACAUGCAAGUAGAACGCCGUUUCGAACGGGUGAGUAACGCGUAGGUAACUGCCUCAUAGCGGGGGAUCACUAUUGGAAACGUUCGCUAAUACCUCAUACUGUGAGAUUGACCUGCGUUGUAUUAGCUAUUUGGUGAGGUAAAGGCUCAACAAAGCGACUAUACAUAGCCGACUUGAGAGGUAGGACGGCACAACUAGGACUGAGACACGGCCCAGGAGCCGAAGGGAGUCAGCAGUAGGGAAUCUUCGGCAAUUGACGGAAAUCUGACCGAGCAACUGCGCGUGAGUGAAGAAGGUUGUCGGAUCGUAAAACUCUGUUGUUAGAGAAGCGGUAACUAACCAGAAAAGGACGGCUAACUACGUGCCAGCAGCCGCGGUAAUAC